AUAGGAAAUGAAGAGGACAAAGUAAUAUGUGAUACAGCAUAGGCUACAAACAGCAUGUAACUAACCUCUUUGCCAAAUUGAGCUUCAUUAAUAACCUUCCCUUGAGGCCGCACUGCAUACAGAGUUGAAGAACGUGAUGAAUAGAUGGGUAAUAUACAGUUAGAAUAUCUGCCCUUGAAUUGGCGCAAACGAAUAGUAGGUAUAGAUGCACCAAAAUGAGAAUACUCAUUUUUCACAGUAUACAUCCUUUGCUGCUCCCACCCUAAAAAAUUGGCAGAUUAGUGGUGAGGUCCCUGUCGAUGGCAUAAGCAUUAAUGCUUGGUGAGUAAAAUACUUUUAAUCUUUAUGUGCGGGUAUAAAUGAUAAGGCAGCUCAUAAAUUAGGAGAAAAUCUAAUUACAAUAUGAGCAAGAUAUUAACCUAAGCACAUAGCUGAGAAGAACACUUAAAUUGCUAGCCAGAGACAAAUGAUUAAAUUGUUGGUGGAGAAGUAAGAACCUGCAAACAUUAUAUUCCAUCAGUUUAAUUUGGGAACAAGGUUGUCCAACUUGUAUUACGAAGUUACUUUAUAGUGUUCUUUCAAGAAAUGAUAAAAAUGACCAUAUGAGACAAACACAGACCAAUAACUUGCACAAAAUUUUAUACCUACAAUCCAGGAUAGUUUCUAACAAACCAUCAGUGCUCUUUUACUACACAGCUUGCAUCAGACAGUAGAUCAAAGUCGUCUUGUUUUUCUUUAAAACGAACCAAUGGAAAGGCCUACCUUGAUUAAAUACUUUGGUCUUAUUUCAUAUAUUCAAAAUCACAGGCAGCAUCUGUGCUGGAGCGAGUGGAGCCAUUGCUAGAUAUAUACAUCACUGUAAUCCAUCAUAUUACUUUCUCAAAAUGGAACACAAAAUGAAGGGUAAAAAGGUUUCAUGCAUGAAACUGCCCAAAAAAAAAAGUUACUAUACACAACAUUUGCCAAAAAGAUGAUCACUGAAGAUGAAGCAGCAUAUACAAAAAUAUGCAUGUGUGAUUCAGAAACUUAUAUCACAAAGAUAGGUGAUCCAAUCUUGAUUAUAUGCUAAGUCUUCCGAUUCUAACAAAAUAUGUCCAGUGACAAAAAUGUGCACAGGUGGAGUGGAGAUCCAUGGAGGAAAUGAGCAUUGCACACACACACACA